rnacentral:rRNA from 1 species
ACAAAAACAUGUCUUUUUGAAUUAAUUUAAAGUAAACCUGCCCAAUGAUUAAUUAAAUGGCCGCAGUAUAUUAACUGUGCAAAGGUAGCAUAAUCAUUAGUUUUUUAAUUGAAAGCUUGUAUGAAUGGUUUGAUGAAAUAUAUACUUUUUUAUUUUAAUAUAUAAAAUUUUAUUUUUUAGUUAAAAAGCUAAAAUUUAUAUAUAAGACGAGAAGACCCUAUAGAUUUUUAUAUUUAUAUUAUUUUAUUUAUAUGGUUGAAUUUAAAUAUAAUAAUUAUGAUAUUAUAUUGGGGUGAUAGUAAAAUUUAAUAAACUUUUAUAUUUUGUUAUUACAUAAAUUAAUGAAUUUUUGAUCCAUUAUUAAUGAUUAUUAAAUAAAAUUACCUUAGGGAUAACAGCGUAAUUUUUUUAAAGAGUUCUUAUCGAUAAAAAAGAUUGCGACCUCGAUGAUGAAUUAAAAUUUAUUUUAGGCGCAGUGGGUUAAAAAU